rnacentral:misc_RNA from 1 species
CUGGGUCUGGGCCUCGUGCCCGCUACCCGCCCUUUGUCAUACGCAACUCAUCGUUUCGGUCUGGUCCCUCCACCCUCCCCUCCGCCGUAACAGGCGAGGGGGGUGGUGCGUGUGGCCCGGCCGGCAUUGCAAACCCACGAGGAAUUUUGAAGUCUGAUGCAAAUGCAAACGAAAAAGCA